CAAAAACAUCGCCUUUUGAUAUAAAUAUAAAAGGUCCAGCCUGCCCAGUGACCUAGUUCAACGGCCGCGGUAUCCUAACCGUGCGAAGGUAGCGUAAUCACUUGUUCUUUAAAUGAGGACUAGUAUGAAUGGCACCACGAGGGUUAAACUGUCUCCUUUUUCUAAUCAGUGAAACUAAUCUCCCCGUGAAGAAGCGGGGAUUAUCAUAUAAGACGAGAAGACCCUAUGGAGCUUAAAACAAAUUAACACCUGCUUCCACCUAUUUUUAUUCCUGAGCUAACACACAAAAUACAGCAUUACUGAUUAAUAGUUUUCGAUUGGGGUGAUCAUGGAGUAAAAACUAACCUCCACGACGAAAGGGCCUCUUCCCUGAGCUAAAAGCUACAACUUUAGGCACUAAAAAAUUAACGCACUUUGACCCAAAUUUUUGAGCAACGAACCAAGUUACCCUAGGGAUAACAGCGCAAUCCAUUUCAAGAGCCCCUAUCGACAAAUGGGUUUACGACCUCGAUGUUGGAUCAGGGUAUCCUAGUGGUGCAGCCGCUACUAAGGGUUCGUUUGUUCAACGAUCAAAACC
rnacentral:rRNA from 1 species